GUAGAUCUCUGACACAGACGUUUUCUUUAGACAGUUAGAUCUGACAAAACUUGACGAGAGAAAAACAAGAUGGCAUUAAAACUCGCAAUCGUCGGUGUUCUUCUGGUUGCUCUUGUGAUUGCAACUUGUGUUUCCAGCGAAGAUAUAUUAGACAGAAAUGACGAAUUUCUCGAACUUAGUCCGUACGGUCAGUGUAUCCGAGAUAUGGGCCAGGAGUCGGCAUUUUGUGAAAAUUAUCGACUCUGAUAAUCAGCGAUUGGAUUAAAGAUCAACGGAACGUGAGACAGACAGGAGUGGAAGCUACCAAUUCUUUCUGGAUCAACGAGGGGGGGGGUGCGGGGGGCUACUUAGUAUAAAUGUAUGAUAGGCAUGUGUCGCGGUAGAUACCCCCAUUUUCAGCCUAAAUUUCCGUUCCGGAGCAUCACCAAGUUAUAUCCUUUUCACACUGCAUUCCCUAAGCCCCAUACUAUCCUUAACCCCGGACAUUCCUUAACCCCAAACUAUCUUUUUUUCGAUUCACACUGCCUUUCUUAACCAUGUUAACCCCACACUAUUUUGCUUAACCCUGGGAAAUCACACAGUCAUGAAUAUUGAUGAACGUGCAAUUCCGACUUCUGUGAUUGGCUAAUGCUAAGCCCCACUUUUCCUUAG